GGGGAGUGGAUGCUGAUUGGUUUGUGUGUAUGCAAGAAAGGUUAAAGCAAGGCCUCCACUCAAAGGUGGGCAUGACAGUGUAGUAAACCAAUUAGAAAAGGAUAGAUGUAUGUAAAAUGGGUGAAGGGUGGGGCCCAAUCAGAGGAAAGCAUGCCAAACAGGAAGAUGAUUUCUCAAUCCGUUCCGAGGAUUUAAACUGUCUUCAGCUUGGAGGUGGGGUUUCAACAGAGAUCCACCCCCAUCUGCCUUGGAAUUUGGCUGCCUGCUGUCACUAUCACCUUGAGCUCAUCAAAGGCAUUCUUCAUUUCUGUUUACAGCAGUUUUGAUUGUGUGUUAGGCUGUUUUUGCAUUACUAUAAAGAAUACCUCAGACUGAGUAAUUUAUAAGGAAAAGAGAUUGAAUUGGCUGAUAGUUCUGUAGCCUUUACAGGAAGUGUGAUGCUGGCCUCUGCUUGGCUUCUGGUGGGGGCCUCAGGAAACUUUUACACAUGGCCGAAGAUGAAGUUGGAGCAGAAAUGUCACAUGGUGAGAGCAGGAGCAAGAGAACAAGGAGGGACACACAUUUAAACAAUGAGAUCUCUCGUGAACUCAGUCAUCACCAAGGGGAUGGUGCUAAGCCAUUCAUGAGGCAUUCACCCCUAUGAUCCAUAUACCUCCCACCACGCCCCACCUCCAACAACUUGGGGUCACAUUUCAACUUGAGAUUUGGAAGACACAAAUACCCAAACCAUAGCAGAUCUCUAGCAUUUCUUUUUCAUUCUUUCUUAGAAUUUAUAUAUCUCUGCUUACAUUAUCUGUUGUUGCAGUUUGUCCACUUUUUUCAUUAGAGCCCUUAGUAUAUUAAUCAUAGUUGUUGUAAAUUCCCAGUUUGAUCAUUCCAACAUCCUUUGCAUGUCUGAGUCUGGUUCUGUGCUUGUUCUGUCUCUUCAAACAGUGUUUUUUGCCUUUUAGUGUGCGUUGUAAUUUUUUAUUGAAAGUUGGACAUGAUGGGCUGGGUGAAAAGGAACUCUGGUAAAUAGGUCUUUAUUACUAAUGUGUUUGUAUGUGCUUGAUGGGUAAUAGUCCUAUGAUUAAGUCUGUCUUGUAGUGACCCCGUGUGCCUAAGCUGUAAAUUUUGAAGUGCCUGUCAGUUUUUCCUCACCUUAGGUGGGAUGGGGGACUGAAAUUGGGUAUCCCUUCCUCUAGGUUAGUUAGACCUUGAUAAAACACCAAUAGGUUAGGCUCUGGUAAACUAGUUUAUCUUGAGGACAGGCCUUUUAAGAAAGAACAGAAUACCGGUCGCAGUGGCUCACACCUGUAAUCCCAGCACUUUGGGAGGCCGAGGCAGGAGGAUCAUGGGGUCAGGAGCUCGAGACCAGCCUGGCCAACAUGGUGAAACCCCGUCUCUACUAAAAAUACAAAAAUUAGCUGGGUGUGGUGGUGCACGCCUGUAGUCCCAGCUACUCAGGAGGCUGAGGGAGGAGAAUCACUUGAACUUGAGAGGUGGAGGUUACAGUGAGCCGAGAUCAUGCCACCACACUCCAGCCUGGGCAACAGAGCGAGACUCUGUCUCAAAAAAAAAAAAAA
rnacentral:lncRNA from 1 species